GUGUGUGGUUAUGCAUUUAAUCAAGAGUGGUCACUUGAAGAAACAUGUGAUACAUAUAGGAGAGAAGCUGUACAUGUGUGUGGAAUGUGGUUAUGCAUUAAACCAGAGUGGUAACUUUGAGACACACAUAAUGAUACAUUCAGGAGAGAAUCCGUACAAGUGUGAUUAUUGUAGUUAUGCAUUUAGCCAGAUUGAUCACCUGAAGACACAUGAUGAUACAUACAAGAGAGCAGCAAAUGUGAGGUGUUUGGUUAGGCAUUUAACCAGAGUGGUCACUCGAAGACACAUAUGAUGAUACAUACAGGACAGAAACAAGUGUGAGGUGUGCGGUUAUGCAUUUAACCAGAGUGUUCACUUGAAAACAUAUGAUGAUACAUAAAGGAGAGAAACAAGCUCAUACGAAUAGAUAAGGGAAGAAACAGUAAAAACAUGAAUAUAUUAACAUUCUCUGAAAGCAUGACUGUCCGGCUUAAAUAUUUGCUUGGCCGCUUAUCACGGGCGCCACCUCUUUUUUGUGAUGCAUUGAUAUAUGAGCUUAUGCUACUUCCUAGGUUGCGCUUAGGACCGAAUGUUUUGAAACUUCACGGAUAAUUCUACAUAUUGCCCAAGUUUUAUUUGUUUUUCAACAUAUUUCGCAUUAUACGAAAAUCGGGCAAUGUAGAGCGAUUAAGCGAAGAUUAAUUGGUCCGCACAUGUACAUAAAUACACAAAUACAACCCAUUUGCAAACGUGUAGAGCUGCAACGAUUCGAUCCGAUGCAUCGAAAAUAGGUUCGAAAUGCGUCGAUUCGAUUACGAUACCAAACCUACCAAAUUCGAUUCUUUAAGAUAUAGACAUAUAUAUACAUAGAUACGUAAAGCUCGCUGUAUUCUGACUAUUUGAUACGGGAAGGUGUAGGUUUUAUCUUUACCUGUAAUUACGACGCGCGCGAUUGGCUGCUUAUUACUUUAUUCAUCCAAUUAAUAAGCGCGUUACGGUCUACUUUCGGAAAAAAGCGUCAAAAUGGCUGAACAAAUUGAAAUUAUCAGAUGCAGACUCGGACAAAAGUGUGCACAACCACUUUGAAAUAUUUUGUUCCAUAAUUUAAUAAUGCUGAGCAGUUCAGCAAAUUUUACCUUGUUUUAUAAUCCAAAUAUAAUUUAUGAAUCGAAGUAGACAACUUUUAUGAUGGCAUGUAACUGCAUAUGGGUAAAAACACCGUAAAUCUUAAAUUUUUUACACUAUCUACUAUCUUCAAGCAUGUGUACAUGCAAGUUGUUAAGUAAUGUAACACGCAACGUGAUUGGUUAGCUGUUUCCUGCAGUGGAGAAUUACCAAUCAAAUCGCAUGUUUGAAAUACAUGAAGUGUAAUAUCUAAAAUGAAAGUAGACUAUUGUAAUUGUGACAUUGAAGUGUUUUUAUACGAAUUUCGAGCAAAUUAUCACAAUUAAUUGUAAUUAUGUUAUAUUAAACUAUAAACAGAAACUAGCAAGUGAAUAUGUACGUUCAAAACAGGUUUGUUUUAAAGGAAUAUCGAUAUAACAACUAGAAAUAUCAGUUUUCAGUUGUUCACACUUGUGUCGCAGUUAGGAUUUUUGAGCUUUUUUGCAUGAAUGGUAUCGUUUUAAUUUAAAGAAUGAUCGUAGUUUAUUGCCAAGUUUAUUAUUUUCUGAAUGAUAAAUGUCUCUGCUCUUGGUAUAACGUUUAUUUUGUGUAAUUAAUGCUUUGGAAGAGAUUUUUUUUGCUUUUGUUCAGACCAUGGUGUUGUGCAGGAAAUUUGACAGUUGUAUCCCUUGUAUACUGUUAUAUACUAUGUAGUGUUUUUUUUCUUAAAGAUCCCUGUGAGAAUAACAGGUAGCACAAGUACAACUACUCAAGUCGCCAGCCAGAAAAGUAGUUCUGUUUCUGUUGGGAAUUUGAUAAGUUUAUUAGAGAAUGUGCUUUGUCCUACAGGUAACAGGUGAUGCUGUCACGGCUAUAUGGUAGACAUGCUUGUAGCGGUUUUGGAUAUAAGUAUAAUAGUGAUAGUACUAUCACUCCACUGAUUCCAGAUGUUCUUAUGAUUAUUUAUUUAAUUUCAUAUUAUUGUGUAUUCAACACAAUCUUCUAGUCAGAAGAUUUUUUAUAUUAAAAUUAAUCCUAAUUUGCUAUUAUUUUUUAUGUGUUUUAUUGAAAUAUUGACAUAGUUUGAAAGACAAUUGGCAGUUUCUUGCAAAACAUUUCUUACAAAUGUUAAUUUAACACACUUUCAACAGUUUUUAAAACACUGUUGAACCAACCAAACUAUAUCAAACAAACACACAAUUUGACAAAUGCCCAAGAUAUCUAGGUAUGCGACACUUUUGAACAGAAAUGUUUAUUUUGAGGCAGAAGAGUGAAUAUAUGGUAAAACUAGGUUUGAAGAUGAAUCGAAUCGAAAAAAUCGGUAUCGGAGUGUCCGAAAUCAAAUUGAAUCGAGCUGUUGAUGAAUUGUUCCAGCUCUACAAACGUGAGGACCUUUAUGAGUAGUGUCAUGUUGUCGUUUUUUUAAAGCAUAUCGAUGUUUUUGAACAAUUAAUUUUACCAUAUAAAAGUUAUUGCGUGCAUAAAACCAUCGGCACUAGUCGGUCUAACCGAUAAUAUUGUAUUUUUUCAAAGGAGAUGGAGCCAAUGCCAACGAGGUGCGCUGAUGACAGUUUUAAUUUUCUUUUUUUGUGUGUAGCAUUCAAAGUUAAAUAAUCUAUCUUUUUUGUCUUUAUUUCUGUAUUGGAUGAAAGCGACAUAUAGCUAACAACUUAAGUUUACAUAAGUAUGAAGUGACUGUGUUGCAAAACGAUUUUGAUGGCUUCGGUCAUUGAAUAGUAGUAUGCCAUAAAACCGGAAAGUAACUUGAGUAUACUACAAUAGUUUACGAAAUAUUUUGAGAUUAAUGAUAGUUUUGUUAUUUGAUUUAUUGAGUAUUACAUAUUUUGGGGUUUUAUCGUACACUUUGUUUUAUUCAGGUUGCUGACAUCUUCAUUGAGUUUGUUACUUAUAUAUUUAUGCCCCCUUCGAAACAGAGGGGGUAUAUUGUUUUUCACAUGUCGGUCGUCCGUCCACCAGAUGGCUUCUGGAUGAUAACUCAAGAACGCUUAGGCCUAGGAUCAUUAAACUUCAUAGGUACAUUGAUCAUGACUGGCAGAUGACCCCUAGAGAGUUUUCAGGUCACUAGGUCAAAGGUCAAUGUCACAGUGACUUGAAAUAGUAAAAUGGUUUCCGGAUUAUAACUCAAGAAUGCUUAGACCUAGGAUCAUGAAACUUCAUAGGUACACUGAUCAUGACUGGUAGAUGACCCUUAUUGAUCUUUAGGUCACUAUGUCAAAGGUCAAGGUCAAGUGACUCGAAACAGUAAAAUGGUAAGAAUAAUUAGGCCUAGGAUCAUGAAACUUCAUAGGUAGAUUGAUCAUGAAUGGCAGAUGACCCUAUUGAUUUUCAGGUCUUAUGUCAAAGGUCAAGGUCACAGUGACUCGAAACAGUAAAAUGGUUUCCGGAUGAUAAUUCAAGAAUACUUACGCCUAGGAUCAUGAAACUUCAUAGUUACAUUGAUCAUGACUGGCAGAUGACUCCUAUUGAUUUUCAGGUCACUAGGUCAAAGGUCAAGGUCACAGUGACUCGAAACAGUAAAAUGGUUUCCGGAUGAUAACUCAAGAAUAAUUAGGCCUAGGAUCAUGAAACUUCAUAGGUAGAUUUAUCAUGACUGGCAGAUGACCCUAUUGAUUUUCAGGUCUUAUGUCAAAGGUCAAGGUCACAGUGACUCGAAACAGUAAAAUGGUUUCCGGAUGAUAAUUCAAGAAUGCUUACGCCUAGGAUCAUGAAACUUCAUAGGUACAUUGAUCAUGACUGGCAGAUGACCUCUAUUGAUUUUCAGGUCACUCGGUCAAAGGUCAAGGUCACAGUGACUCGAAACAGUAAAAUGAUUUCCUGAUGAUAACUCAAGAAUAAUUAGGCCUAGGAUCAUGAAACUUCAUAGGUAGAUUGAUCAUGACUGGCAGAUGACCCCUAUUGAUUUUCAGGUCAUUAAGUCAAAGGUCAAGGUCACGGUGACAAGAAACGUAUUCGCACAAUGGCUGCCACUACAACUGACAGCCCAUAUUGGGGGCAUGCAUGUUUUACAAACAGCCCUUGUUACAUCUUGUGUUUGUUAUGUCCCCCACCACUAUAGUCUAUGUCAAGUUCGAUAAUCGGCCAAUUUUACCCAGACACUUCUGAGUUACGGCCCUUGAAUCUUCGAAAAAUUGCGUUUUUUCUCGUUUUCGCUCAAUAACUCGAGCAAAUGUCAGGAUCUUCGCCACACUUCAUUAACAUAUGGUAGUUCAUGAGAUCUAGGACAAGUUCGAUAAUCGGCCAAAUUGACUACGACACUCCUGAGUAACGGCCCUUGAAUCAUCGAACAAUUGAGUUUUUUUCUCGUUUCCGCUCAAUAACUCAAGCUAUUGUCAUCGGAUCUUCACCAAACUUAAUAAAAGUGUGUGAGGCAAUAAAAUCUAGCUUAAGUUUGAUUAUCAACCAAUUUGACCCAGGCACUUAAGAGUUGCGGCCCUUGAAUCAUCAAAUAAUUGCGUUUCCGCUCGAAAAAUGCUCAUAACUUCUAUGUCGCUUUAGAUGUAACUUUCAUAUUUGGUAUGCAUGUGGACAAGGCUUUUCCAUACGCACACACAUUUUGACCCCUUGACCUAGAACUUAGGGUCCGCGUUUAGGUUUCGAAAUCUGCAUCUAGGUUUCGAAAAAGCGUUUUUCGGGUGCAUGUGUCUAACGAUGGAGACAGCUCUUGUUCACUUAGAAACUUCUUUUCGAAGAUAUUAUUCUUUAAAAAAAUUAUACCAGUUUAACGUUCUUAGAAAAUAAAAUAAAUUUCGUUCGUAAAACAAUUAUUUCACUGGCAAAAGCUAGAUAACGUUUAAAAUAAGUAUUAUGUUUCGAUACUUUUCAUGAAAGUUAGCGUCGCGCAUUGGUAGAGAACCGCUUACGGAUCCUGACUGCAUCAUGGGUUCGAAACUGGGCUAGGUCAAAUGGUUUGUUUUUUUACUAUAAAAAUUAGUUAAAGCGAGUAUAUACGAUUUUGUCAAAUACAAAUGAAUUUAUAGAAACUGUGCAAAAAAACUUAUUAUAUAUAUAUAUCUUUCAAUAUAAAAUAAAAUAAUAGUUCAGAAGAAUAUACGUCGAAAAAUGCGAAAUAAGCCAGAUAUUUAAUUCUGAAAUCAAAAACGGCUGUACAGUCGAAUUCACCAGCAUGUAUAUCAUGCAUGUACUAUGUGAAUCUAAACUUAGUUUAACGGUUUUUGUAGGGCUGUAUUUUCGUUGAACAUUGUGACGGCAAACAUUUACCUUUCGAUUUCGGGCGGAAAGAGAGGAGGGUUAAAUUACAGUAUUUUGAUAUUAAUCUGCAAAUUAUAGUGCAUAUUACUUAAAAAAAUAUUUGAAUAAGAAUAAAAACUUCAGUACGUGUUCUCCAAAAUUCAGCGUGAAUGUAAUAUUUUUCGUAUGUAACGAAAUCGGUAAAUAAAACAAAAAAACAACAACAACAACGAAAUAUUACUUCCUGCUUAAAUCAAACGAUCGUAACAGUAAAAUGAAUAAUAACAAACAAAACAAGAAUAGCAAAGAUAUAACUAUGACCUAAGCUUCCGAAUGAAAAAGUCGUUCAGGCUCGUAAAUAGAAAUGAUGUAAUAACGUUGAUGAAAACAAAAGCAUAAAAAGCGUCUAACCAAUAAGAAUAACAUCUACAUCCGGGCAUUAACUUGCUCGCAAAAUGUCAAACUCCCCUGAUACAUAUUUUUUAUUUUUCGAUUGAUAUAAGCAGGGACCUAUACAAGUAUAGGUCCCUGAUAUAAGAUGGUUUGCAAUAUGGCACCACUGCUUGUUUCAUGUACGUGCACUUAUUCUAAACGAUUUCUUUUUGAUAGCCUUUUAGAUUUUUUUCAGUCAACUGUUCCUUUAGCAUUUACUUCAGCAGAAACUUUCUUGUAUCUAAUAGACUUUCAACGCC